rnacentral:rRNA from 1 species
AUUGAACGCUGGCGGCAGGCCUAACACAUGCAAGUCGAACGAGUGGCGGACGGGUGAGUAAUGCUUGGGAAUCUGGCCGAUGGAGGGGGAUAACUACGGGAAACGGUAGCUAAUACCGCGUACCAUAGGAUGAGCCCAGAGGGGAUUAGGUAGUAGGUGAGGUAAAGGCUUACCAAGCCGACGAUCCCUAGCUGGUCUGAGAGGAUGACCAGCCACACUGGGACUGAUACACGGCCCAGACUCCUACGGGAGGCAGCAUUGGGGAUUAUUGCGCAAUGGGCGAAACCCUGACGCAGCCAUGCCGCGUGACUGAAGAAGGCCUUCGGGUUGUAAAGUACUUUCGGUGGCGAGGCGUUACCUACAGAAGAAGCACCGGCUAACUCCGUGCCAACAGCCGCGGUAAUUC